UAGAGUUUGAUCAUGGCUCAGAAUCAACGCUGGCGGCGUGCCUCAGACAUGCAAGUCGAACGAUUAAAGCCCUCUUCGGAGGGUGUAUAAAGUGGCGCACGGGUGAGUAACACGUAAGUAAUCUACCCUCGGGUGGGGAAUAACAACCGGAAACGGUUGCUAAUACCGCAUAAUGCAGCGGCUCCUUAUGGAGACAGUUGUUAAAGGAUUUAUUCGCCUGAGGAGGAGCUUGCGGCAAAUUAGCUAGUUGGUAAGGUAAUGGCUUACCAAGGCUACGAUCUGUAGCCGGUCUAAGAGGACGGUCGGUCACACUGACACUGAAUAACGGGUCAGACUCCUACGGGAGGCAGCAGUCGGGAAUUUUGGGCAAUGGGCGAAAGCCUGACCCAGCAACGCCGCGUGAAGGAUGAAGUAUUUCGGUAUGUAAACUUCGAAAGAAUAGGAAGAAUUAAUGACGGUACUAUUUAUAAGGUCCGGCUAACUACGUGCCAGCAGCCGCGGUAAUACGUAGGGACCAAGCGUUGUUCGGAUUUACUGGGCGUAAAGGGCGCGUAGGCGGCAUGACAAGUCACUUGUGAAAUCUCUGGGCUUAACUCAGAACGGCCAAGUGAUACUGUCGCGCUAGAGUGCAGAAAGGGCAAUCGGAAUUCUUGGUGUAGCGGUGGAAUGCGUAGAUAUCAAGAGGAACACCUGAGGC
rnacentral:rRNA from 1 species